UGCGAAGGUAGCAUAAUGAUUUGUUCUUUAAUUGAGGACUUGUAUGAAUGGUUGAACAAGAAAUUUACUGUCUCUCACCUAUUUCUUGAAUUUUACAUUUAAGUGAAAAGGCUUAAAUGAGCUAGGGGGACGAUAAGACCCUAUAAAUCUUUAUAUUUGCCGUAGAAAAGAGUGUGUAUUAGGGCUAAAGAUAUAUUAUUUUGUUGGGGCGAUAUUUUGUUGGGGCGACAAGGGUAUAAUGAGUAACUGCUUUAAAAGUUUAAUUAGAUAAUAUCUAGUUUGAGAAUAAGAGAUCCUUUACUAAGGAUUGUUAAAAUAAGUUACUUUAGGGAUAACAGCGUAAUCUCUCUUGAGAGUUCAUAUCGAAAGAGAGGAUUGCGACCUCGAUGUUGAAUUAAAGAUCCUCUGUGGUGCAGCCGUUACAGGAGGAGGUCUGUUCGA
rnacentral:rRNA from 1 species